CGUCGCCAAUAAUUUAAAAUUAAAUUUUCGAAGUUAUCUGUAGCGAUGAAACAACUUCGUCGCUACAUAUGACUUACGAGUCCUUCUAGGGCAUGGUGGAGUUAAAAAAAUCCGAAACAUAUACGCUUCCUCUCGCUCUCUUCGUCCGAGGGCUUUCUCCUCUCUGGCAGCUCGCUCCUCUCCGCCAGCUUUAUGGGGUUUUACGCAGUGUCUAUUUACAUCUCAGUCCCUCCUUGUUGUACCUAAUUUAUCAUCACAAGAGAGUUUGCUAUCUCUUUGAAUCGCUAUGCCUUGAAAAGUAUACAAAGCCUACCUGGAGCUGAAGUUGGUAAAUUUGGGGGUCAAGGGAUACUUGCACUGGCACACAUUGUUACGCAUGAAGAGGCAAGCCUAGCAUAUUCAAUUAAUCUUCAUUGUUGGCAGUUUUAAAAUUGUUUCAAUCCAUCUUGUUUAGAGAUUUGCUUGUGGUUUCUCAUCUUAGUUGGUGAUAGCAUGUUCCUUUUUUGCUUAGUAGCUGUUGAAGGCCAUUAAGUUAGAAGGUCAUUCUCCCAUGGAUGCUAUAAUGCCAAGAGAUAUUUUUCUAUUGCAAGAUGCCUCCAGUCCAAGUCACACCCUUGAUCUUACUAUUUGUAUCGUGGAUCCAUAGUACUUGGUUUAACAAUGAGCUAGUUUAAAAGAGAAAAUGAGAGGGACUUGGAUGUUUCAACUCUGACGUAUUACAAGACCAUCGGAAGAGGAGAGAAGAAGAGAAGAGUUUAUGGCCUUGAAGAAACACGAUUAAGGCCUUUAGCAUACUUUUGAUCCUGAUGAACUUCACCAUCAAGCAUCACAUUAGUUAACUUUGUUUUCCUGACUCUAUGUUAUUAGUUGAAGAACAAUAUGGAUGUUGUUUAUGUUUUAGGAUUUAUGUAUUUCUAGAUCUAUUUGUUAAUCUUUAGAUUGCUAUUUAUAUGAAA